GACGAACGCUGGCGGCGUGCUUAACACAUGCAAGUCGAACGGAAAGGCCCUGCUUUUGUGGGGUGCUCGAGUGGCGAACGGGUGAGUAACACGUGAGUAACCUGCCCUUGACUUUGGGAUAACUUCAGGAAACUGGGGCUAAUACCGGAUAGGAGCUCCUGCUGCAUGUUGGGGGUUGGAAAGUUUCGGCGGUUGGGGAUGGACUCGCGGCUUAUCAGCUUGUUGGUGGGGUAGUGGCUUACCAAGGCUUUGACGGGUAGCCGGCCUGAGAGGGUGACCGGCCACAUUGGGACUGAGAUACGGCCCAGACUGCUACGGGAGGCAGCAGUGGGGAAUAGUGCACAAUGGGCGGAAGCCUGAUGCAGCAACGCCGCGUGCGGGAUGACGGCCUUCGGGUUGGAAACCGCUUUCGCCUGUGACGAAGCGUGAGUGACGGUAAUGGAUAAAGAAGCACCGGCUAACUACGUG
rnacentral:rRNA from 1 species